UACAGAGGUGGCAAGCGUUGUUCGGAAUUACUGGGCGUAAAGGGCGCGUAGGCGGCCUUCUAAGUCAGACGUGAAAUCCCCCGGCUUAACCUGGGAACUGCAUCUGAUACUGGGAGGCUUGAGUAUGGGAGAGGGAUGUAGAAUUCCAGGUGUAGCGGUGAAAUGCGUAGAUAUCUGGAGGAAUACCGGUGGCGAAGGCGGCAUCCUGGACCAUUACUGACGCUGAGGCGCGAAAGCUAGGGGAGCAAACGGG
rnacentral:rRNA from 1 species